rnacentral:rRNA from 1 species
GCAAGUCGAACGAACCUUCGGGUUAGUGGCGGACGGGUGAGUAACGCGUGAGAAUCUGCCCCCAGGAGGGGGAUAACAGCUGGAAACGGCUGCUAAUACCCCAUAUGCCGCGAGGUGAAAUGAAUUUCGCCUGAGGAUGAGCUCGCGUCUGAUUAGCUAGUUGGUGUGGGUAAUGGCUCACCAAGGCGACGAUCAGUAUCUGGUUUGAGAGGAUGACC